GACGAACCGUACGAGCGUUAUUCGGAAUUACUGGGCUUAAAGGGUGCGUAGGCUGUGCGGAAAGUUGGGCGUGAAAUACCUCAGCUUAACUGAGGAACUGCGUUCAAAACUACCGUGCUCGAGGGAGACAGAGGUAAGCGGAACUGAGGGUGGAGCGGUGAAAUGCGUUGAUAUCCUCAGGAACACCGGUGGCGAAGGCGGCAUCCUGGACCAACACUGACGCUGAGGAGCGAAAGCCAGGGGAGCAAACGGG
rnacentral:rRNA from 1 species